rnacentral:rRNA from 1 species
GACGAACGCUGGCGGCGUGCCUAAUACAUGCAAGUCGAGCGAAUGGAUUAAGAGCUUGCUCUUAUGAAGUUAGCGGCGGACGGGUGAAUAACACGUGGGUAACCUGCCCAUAAGACUGGGAUAACUCCGGGAAACCGGGGCUAAUACCGGAUAACAUUUUGAACCGCAUGGUUCGAAAUUGAAAGGCGGCUUCGGCUGUCACUUAUGGAUGGACCCGCGUCGCAUUAGCUAGUUGGUGAGGUAACGGCUCACCAAGGCAACGAUGCGUAGCCGACCUGAGAGGGCGAUCGGCCACACUGGGACUGAGACACGGCCCAGACUCCUACGGGAGGCAGCAGUAGGGAAUCUUCCGCAAUGGACGAAAGUCUGACGGAGCAACGCCGCGUGAGUGAUGAAGGCUUUCGGGUCGUAAAACUCUGUUGUUAGGGAAGAACAAGUGCUAGUUGAAUAAGCUGGCACCUUGACGGUACCUAACCAGAAAGCCACGGCUAACUACGUGCCAGCAGCCGCAGUAA